CGGUAGUGGUGUGAGUGGUUCUUUGACCUGUGGUGCCUCAAUUGUUCAUAGUGAAACUUUUAUAGUUUGACUGCACAUAAAUAUGACCUCCUAGCCAUUUGGAUCCUUGUAGUGUAUGUUGACUACAGUAGAUUCAUUGUAGGAGUAGAGUGCGUACUUAGAUGGGAUCUAUCAACCAUAGUAGAUAAGGAAGAAACCUAUGGAG
rnacentral:lncRNA from 1 species